rnacentral:rRNA from 1 species
GAUGAACGCUGGCGGCGUGCCUAAUACAUGCAAGUCGAGCGAACGGACGAGAAGCUUGCUUCUCUGAUGUUAGCGGCGGACGGGUGAGUAACACGUGGAUAACCUACCUAUAAGACUGGGAUAACUUCGGGAAACCGGAGCUAAUACCGGAUAAUAUUUUGAACCGCAUGGUUCAAAAGUGAAAGACGGUCUUGCUGUCACUUAUAGAUGGAUCCGCGCUGCAUUAGCUAGUUGGUAAGGUAACGGCUUACCACGGCAACGAUGCAUAGCCGACCUGAGGGGGUGAUCGGCCACACUGGAACUGAGACACGGUCCAGACUCCUACGGGAGGCAGCAGUAGGGAAUCUUCCGCAAUGGGCGAAAGCCUGACGGAGCAACGCCGCGUGAGUGAUGAAGGUCUUCGGAUCGUAAAACUCUGUUAUUAGGGAAGAACAUAUGUGUAAGUAACUGUGCACAUCUUGACGGUACCUAAUCAGAAAGCCACGGCUAACUACGUG